CGCUGCCGCCGGCUCCGGAUUAAAGCUGAGGAGCCGGCGCCGGGCGAGCCGGGGAGGUGAGGAUGGGUUUUCUCCGCUGGCUCGUGGCCUCUGCGCUCUGCAUCUUCAUCUGGGGACAGGACUAUGUGCUCUCCCGCCCACCCCCUCAGUUCGGCUCCAUCUACCACGUCCGAGGGGUCAUUAAGCUGCCCUAUGCUGAGAUCGAGGAGCCCUUCGAAGCCUGGUACAACCUGACGGGGAACAAGAGCCGGAUCCAGUAUUAUGGAGGUAAGAGGUGGGCACCCACCUGUUCCAGCUGCGCCCACCCUGUGCUGGCAGGAC
rnacentral:lncRNA from 1 species